rnacentral:rRNA from 1 species
ACUCCAAGUGGCUGGGGUAAGACCCAGUCUUUUCAGAACUCUUCAAAGGUUUUAGAAAAAGGGGGGGGUAAGGACGGUGCCAGCCGCCGCGGUAAUACCGGCGCCUCAAGUGGUAGUCGCUUUUAUUGGGCCUAAAACGUCCGUAGCCGGUUUGGUACAUUCGUGGGUAAAUCAACUCGCUCAACGAGUUGAAUUCUGCGAGGACGGCCAGACUUGGGACCGGGAGAGGUGUGGGGUACUCUCAGGGUAGGGGUAAAAUCCUGUCAUCCUGAGAGGACCACCUGUUGCGAAGGCGCCACACUAGAACGGAUCCGACGGUCAGGGACGAAGCCUAGGGGCACGAACCGGAUUAGAUACCCGGGUAGUCCUAGGUGUAAACGCUGUGGACUUGAUGUUGGAGGAGCUCCGAGCUCUUUCAGUGUCGAAGCGAAGGUGAUAAGUCCACUGCCUGGGAAGUACGGUCGCAAGGCUGAAACUUAAAGGAAUU